rnacentral:rRNA from 1 species
UACGUAGGGUGCAAGCGUUGUCCGGAAUUAUUGGGCGUAAAGAGCUCGUAGGCGGUCUGUCACGUCGGCUGUGAAAAACCCGAGGCUCAACCUCGGGCCUGCAGUCGAUACGGGCAGACUAGAGUUCGGUAGGGGAGACUGGAAUUCCUGGUGUAGCGGUGAAAUGCGCAGAUAUCAGGAGGAACACCGGUGGCGAAGGCGGGUCUCUGGACCGAUACUGACGCUGAGGCGCGAAAAGCGUGGGGGAGCAAACAGG